AUAAAGAAUACAACAGUCAGCUCUAACUCGAUAGAUUAUUGAUGAUGAGAUGAUUUAACACUAUACGGUCAAGUACAAGAUGUAUUACACGACAGAAAAUUGUAUGAAGUCACUAUAUUCUCUUUUACAUGUAAUGGCUGCAAAAUAUUUCUAUAGGGGUUCAUCUUUUCUCGGUAUAUUCUUUCCAGGAGAGAAUAGACGGAGAAAAAAUUGAGAUUUCGCCCGUUAAACAAAGGAGAAGCGGGGAGAGAGAGAGAGAGAGAACGAGGGAAGAUUUCCAAUGAAAAUAUCGCCAGUGUUGCAUCUUGAAAGUCCUUGCCGAUCAAUACUCGUUCACUUCCGAUCCCACGGCCACACGGGGUUGAACCAUCUCUUUGUCGCUGGCAUGACCGACCAGAGGGGUCACCGCCCCAUGGCCUGCGAGGCCUCUGGUCUGCAUGCAAGGCGCCCCUCCUUUGCCUGGAGUGUAGGCGCACCCAUUCCCAGGAGGACGGACGCCGCCCUUUUGCAGUAUGUUGAACAAGUGAUGAGGCUUCUGGUUUUGGUAUUCAUCCCUUUCGUGGAGCGAUCUGCACGCUUCGCUGGGUUCGAAUCUUAGCAGCAAAAGAACCAUAACGGCCACUAGAAUUGCUCUUAGGAACUUCAUCAUCAUUUCUUGGUGGGUCGAUUGAUGAUGUUGCUGUUUUUCAGGAC
rnacentral:lncRNA from 1 species